GCCGAGUAAACACGCAUAAGCUGCCCCUGAGAAGCUCUGGCGUCCGCAUCACGGAGGCGUUGUGGCCGUGUCCGCUGGGUCAGUCAGGACGGAAUGCAGCGUGUCUGCUGCUGUGGCGGCCGUGCCGGUCCGCAGAGGGACAAGUAGACCUUUGCCUGCGUGGUCUCAGGGAAGCACCAGAUCCCAUGUGCUGGCGGAGGGAAGCCUGUCACUCAUCAAGGACAGACGGGAGCUGCACUGCCUUCUGAAAACUUUGAAACAAGUUUGGCUAAAAGAAGCGUUGCACAGGUGUUCACUGAGAAUGACGCCGCCUGCAGGGGCCCCUGUCGCCGAGACUGAGUCCCUCGGCUUCCCCGACAAUGCCCACCGUGCGUGUGCAUGCAGUAGGUGUUUGCUAAAUGCAUGGAGGAAGGACUCAGCGGACCCAAAUAUAAAAUCGGGCUCUAUUUUAUAGAAGCAUUAGGAGUCUGCAGUCUCGCUCUGCAAGACCAAAGAUCAACUAUUAAUACAUCGCGUGCCUGGGGGAGUAAGACUUUUGGAGGAGCAGAAGGCAGAGGCCCUGAGACUGAAGGAAGAAGAGCUCUCUGAGAUGAGGUUACAGGGCUUCCCUGGUGGUUCAGAUGCUAAAGAAUCUGCCUGCAGUGCAGGAGACCCAGGUUCAACCUCUGGGUCGGGAAGAUCCCCUGGAAAAGGAAUGGCUACCCACUCCAGUAUUCUUACCUGGAGAAGUCCAUGGACAGAAGAGCCUGGAGGGUACAGUCCAUGGGGUUUCCAAAAAUUUGACACGACUGAGUGACUAACACCUUCACCAGGAAAGGCAGCUACUAGGAGGCUAGUUUCUUCAAUUGCCAGCCAGGCCUCCUCUGCCUGACCCAAGGCUGAGCUCGCGAUGACAGCAUCAGGUGUGACGGAUGCGGGUGGAGGAGACUCAAGUGAGAAGAUGAGCCCUUUCCAGAUCUCACCAUAAGUCUCCAAACUGCUGAACUACUGCCCACUCGUUACCUCGGUUACAGCCCACACUCUGUCUCCUCACAGUCAUAGAUGCUCCUCAAUAAAACGAAGUUCA